rnacentral:rRNA from 1 species
CAGGGAUUGCCCUAGUAACGGCGAGUGAAGCGGCAACAGCUCAAAUUUGAAAUCUGGCUCCUUUGGGGUCCGAGUUGUAAUUUGCAGAGGGUGCUUUGGCAUCGGCGGCGGUCUAAGUUCCUUGGAACAGGACAUCGCAGAGGGUGAGAAUCCCGUACGUGGGCGCCUGCCUUUGCCGUGUAAAGCCCCUUCGACGAGUCGAGUUGUUUGGGAAUGCAGCUCUAAAUGGGAGGUAAAUUUCUUCUAAAGCUAAAUACCGGCCAGAGACCGAUAGCGCACAAGUAGAGUGAUCGAAAGAUGAAAAGUACUUUGGAAAGAGAGUCAAAUAGCACGUGAAAUUGUUGAAAGGGAAGCGCUUGCAGCCAGACUUGCCCGCAGUUGCUCACCCAGGCUCCGGCCUGGGGCACUCUUCUGCGGGCAGGCCAGCAUCAGUUUGGGCGGUUGGAUAAAGGCCUCUGUCACGUAUCUCCCUUCGGGGUGACCUUAUAGGGGAGGCGCAAUGCAACCAGCCCGGACUGAGGUCCGCGCAUCUGCUAGGAUGCUGGCGUAAUGGCUGUAAGCGGCCCGUCUUGAAACACGGACCAAGGAGUCUGACAUCUAUGCGAGUGUUUGGGUGUCAAGCCCGGGCGCGUAAUGAAAGUGAACGGAGGUGGGAACCCUUUGGGUGCACCAUCGACCGAUCCUGAUGUCUUCGGAUGGAUUUGAGUAAGAGCAUAGCUGUUGGGACCCGAAAGAUGGUGAACUAUGCUUGAAUAGGGUGAAGCCAGAGGAAACUCUGGUGGAGGCUCGCAGCGGUUCUGACGUGCAAAUCGAUCGUCAAAUUUGGGCAUAGGGGCGAAAGACUAAU